UGGCUCAGAAGGUAAAGUGUCUGCCUGCAAUGCAGGAGACCUGGGUUCGAUUCCUGG
rfam:TPA: Bos taurus chromosome 5, whole genome shotgun sequence.